rnacentral:rRNA from 1 species
GGCGUCCCAGGAAAUAGCUCCCGCAUUAGACCGUACCCCAAACCGACACAGGUGGACUGGUAGAGUAUACCAAGGCGCUUGAGAGAACUAUGCUGAAGGAACUCGGCAAAUUGCUCCCGUAAGUUCGCGAGAAGGGAGCCUGGCUCUGCGCAAGCAGUGUCCAGGGGCACAGACCAGGGGGUGGCGACUGUUUAUUAAAAACACAGG